GGCGGACGGGUGAGUAACGCGUAAAGAACUUGCCCUUUAGACUGGGAUAACAGAGGGAAACUUCUGAUAAUACUGGAUAAGUUAGUAUAUCGCAUGAUAUGCAAAUGAAAGCUACGGCACUAAAGGAGAGCUUUGCGUCCUAUUAGCUAGUUGGUAAGGUAAGAGCUUACCAAGGCGAUGAUAGGUAGCCGGCCUGAGAGGGUGGACGGCCACAAGGGGACUGAGAUACGGCCCUUACUCCUACGGGAGGCAGCAGUC
rnacentral:rRNA from 1 species